rnacentral:tRNA from 1 species
UGUGUUUUAGUUUAUAAAGAAUGUGUGUUUUUGGUACACUUGGAACCUCACAA